CUGCCCUACGUGCUCCUUCUGGCA
rnacentral:miRNA from 1 species